GGAUAGCUCAGUUGGUAGUACAUGAGACUAUUAAUCUCAGGGUUGUGGGUUCGAUCCACACGAUGUGCA